rnacentral:lncRNA from 1 species
CUGAACACCCUUCCUUAGUUCAAUUCGGCAAAAGCCGAAAUGCCGAAAUUCUGGCAUUUCAUAGGCUUGUGAGUAUGCGAAUUCUCUCAGGACAUAGAGUAAUUGUUAGAUCUAUCACCGCAAAGUGGUAAGUAAGUUCGUGUGAUGUUUUAACGUACUUCAGAAAAAGAGGGCCUCGAUGGGCCAAAACUGGGCCCAAUGGGCUUACGGACCAAUAUGGGUAAGAGACGGGCAAAGUAGCAUGUUAGUUAGAUAGUGGGACCAAAUUGCAUAAAACGGCU